UGUAGUGCUAUGCUGGGACGGUGUCCGCACUAAGUUUGGCAUCAAUAUGGUGACUUCCCGGGAGCGGGGGACCACCCGGUUACCUAAGGAGGGGUGAACCAGCCCAGGUCAGAAACGGAGCAGAUCAAAACUCCCGUGCUGAUCAGUAGUGGGAUCACGCCUGUGAAUAGCCACUGCAC
rnacentral:SRP_RNA from 1 species